GACAGAGGUCCCGAGCGUUAGGCGGAAUCACUGGGCUUAAAGCGCGCGUAGGCGGCUUUGCAAGUCGGGUGUGAAAUCCCCAGGCUUAACCUGGGAACUGCAUUCGAGACUGCAUUGCUAGAGUAUGGGAGAGGGAAGUGGAAUUUCCGGUGUAGCGGUGAAAUGCGUAGAUAUCGGGAGGAACGACCGGUGGCGAGGCGGUUCUCUGGGCCUGUACUGACGCUGAGGAGCGAAAGCGUGGGGAGCGAACAGG
rnacentral:rRNA from 1 species